rnacentral:misc_RNA from 1 species
GAUGAAGAACGUAGCGAAAUGCGAUACGUAGUGUGAAUUGCAGAAUUCAGUGAAUCAUCGAAUCUUUGAACGCACAUUGCACCUCUCGGUAUUCCGGGAGGUAUGCCUGUUCGAGCGUCAUUUGUACCCUCUAGCUCUGCUUGGUGUUGGGUGUUUGUUCCGCCUCUGUGUGUGAACUCGCCUCAAAACAAUUGGCAGCCGGCGUACUUGUUUCGGAGCGCAGCACAUUUUGCGAUCCAGAUCAACGUACAGCGGCAUCCAAGAAGCCUUAUUUAACGCUCUUGACCUCGGAUCAGGUAGGGAUACCCGCUGAACUUAAGCAUAUCAAUAAGCGGAGGA